rnacentral:lncRNA from 1 species
AUCUGUGCGGUACCUCUCAUGGGCUUCCCAAGUGCUGCUUUGGUGCCAGCUUCCCUGUUGAGUGCGGAGGACCCCGACAGAAAUAACGGCAAUGGCCUCUUCGACUCACGUGCUGCAGGCCUUGCAGCCAUGGAGAGGAGCACCUCCUCAUCACCUCUGGCCCUCACCACUGCCUGGGAUCUCCUCACUCUACCUGACACAGCCUGGUGUUUUAAACCCCACUACAAUUCUGGUGUCCUUCACAAGCCCUGCCUGGCCCCUGUUCCGAUUCAUACUGAUAUCUUCUAAAGGGCUAUGGUCACUUUCUUCCCCCUGGACUUCUGACCUCCUGCUGGCAUCAUCCACCAAUGUUUCUCCCAUCCUGGUCACCAGAAUGGCCUUCCUAAAACACAGUGCUUUAAGAGUUUUUAUGUGUUCUGUGUACUCAAUUUUAUUUAUUUUUAAUUAAUUAAUUAAUUAAUUAAUUUCCUUUAAUGGCUUCUGGGUCUCCUGUCCUGUGUAGGAAGACUUUUUGCACUGUGAGGUUAUAAGGAUAUUUAUCAUUAUUGUUUUCCAUAUGCUUACAGUUUAUAAAGAAAAAACACAAAACUCCUUUACCUUUUACUCAUUUGGAA